CGCACCUUGCGCUCCUGGGUUAUUCCUAGGAGCAUGCCUGUUUGAGUGUCGUGAAAUUCUCAACCCCAGUUGGAUUUGAAAUCUGACUGGUGGCUUGGACUUGGGGGCUUGCUGGCCGUUUUGAUUCGGUCUGCUCCCCUUGAAUGCAUUAGCUGGACUUGUUCCUAUGGGCUUCAUAGCGUGAUAAUUAUCUACGCUUUGUCUGUCUGUGGAAUACUUAUGGGUUCUGCUUCUAAAUGUCCUCUGGACACUAUAUUCAAUCUUUGACCUCAAAUCAGGUAGGACUACCCGCUGAACUUAA
rnacentral:misc_RNA from 1 species